rnacentral:rRNA from 1 species
UACAGAGGGGGCAAGCGUUAUUCGGAAUCACUGGGCGUAAAGCGCACGUAGGCGGAUCUUUAAGUCAGGGGUGAAAUCCCGAGGCUCAACCUCGGAACUGCCUUUGAUACUGGGGAUCUCGAGUCCGGGAGAGGUGAGUGGAACUGCGAGUGUAGAGGUGAAAUUCGUAGAUAUUCGCAAGAACACCAGUGGCGAAGGCGGCUCACUGGCCCGGAACUGACGCUGAGGUGCGAAAGCGUGGGGAGCGAACAGG